rnacentral:rRNA from 1 species
GACGAACGCUGGCGGCGUGCUUAACACAUGCAAGUCGAACGGAAAGGCCCUGCUUUUGUGGGGUGCUCGAGUGGCGAACGGGUGAGUAACACGUGAGUAACCUGCCCUUGACUUUGGGAUAACUUCAGGAAACUGGGGCUAAUACCGGAUAGGAGCUCCUGCUGCAUGGUGGGGGUUGGAAAGUUUCGGCGGUUGGGGAUGGACUCGCGGCUUAUCAGCUUGUUGGUGGGGUAGUGGCUUACCAAGGCUUUGACGGGUAGCCGGCCUGAGAGGGUGACCGGCCACAUUGGGAAUGAGAUACGGCCCAGACUCAUACGGGAGGCAGCAGUGGGGAAUAUUGCACAAUAGGCGGAAGCCUGAUGCAGCAACGCCGCGUGCGGGAUGACGGCAUUCGGGUUGUAAACCGAUUUCGACUGUGACGAAGCGUGAGUGACGGUAAUGGGUAAAGAAGCACCGGCUAACUACGUG